GGAAGCAAGCGUCACGACGUGAAGGGACUGGAGAUUUUUUUUUUCCCCUCUAAUUUAUCAGGCGUAGCUCUUGGUAGCUGAAUGGUUGUAUAUCUGGGUUUGGUGCUGGGAACUGUUGCAUCUACGAGGUAAAAAAAACAAAGUCAGCGUCCAUUAUGAAAGGAAGAAAACUUGUCGGGGGCUAAAGCAAGAACCUGUCCUAGCUGGCCGGUUGUUGGCCUGGGGAUGUUUUGUAUCCCAACCUCCCUGCAGUAGUUCCCCAGAGCCUACAAAAUGAAAAAGAAAGUACUCACACAUCUUCUAUUUUUAGGAUUCUACCCCGUGGGCACUUGCACAUGUGUACAAAAAAAGCUCGGGAUCCAGCUUUAUUGGGGGACACGGGGGGAAAUAACAAAAAAUUGGAAACCUAGUCAUUCAUCGAUAGAGGAAAGACAAGAUAUACUAUGGUACAUUCGCAUUUUGAAAUACUGUGCAGCUCUUGAGCAAGAUAAAUCUGCGUGAAAAGAUCAAG
rnacentral:lncRNA from 1 species